UCGCAAUGCCCGAAAGGGUGACGAAGCGACGCCGCGUGCGGGAAGAAGGCCUUCGGGUUGUAAACCGCUGUCGGGAGUUAAGAAAUGUAAGGAUGUUAAUAGCAUCUUUGCUUGACUAAGGCUCCGGAGGAAGCCACGGCUAACUCUGUGCCAGCAGCCGCGGUAAUACAGAGGCGGCAAGCGUUGUUCGGAAUUAUUGGGCGUAAAGAGCACGUAGGCGGCUAUGUAAGUCGGUUGUGAAAGCCUUCCGCUCAACGGGAGAACAGCAUCCGAUACUGCAUGGCUUGAGUGCGGGAGGGGAGAGUGGAACUUCUGGUGGAGCGGUGAAAUGCGUAGAUAUCAGAAGGAACGCCGGCGGCGAAAGCGGCUCUCUGGCCCAUAACUGACGCUGAGUGUGCGAAAGCUAGGGGAGCAAACGGGGUUAGAUACCCCGGUAGUCCUAGCCGUAAACGAUGGGCACUAAGUAGAGGGGUUUU
rnacentral:rRNA from 1 species